rnacentral:rRNA from 1 species
UACAGAGGGUGCGAGCGUAAUCGGAAUUACUGGGCGUAAAGGGGUGCGUAGGUGGUUACGUAAGUUUAGGUGUGAAAUUCCUGGCUUAACCUGGGGACUGCGCCCUGAUACUGCGUAGCUAGAGUCUUGUAGAGGAAAAGUGGAAUUUCCGGUGUAGCGGUGAAAAUGCGUAGAUAUCGGAAGGAACACCCGUGGCUAAGGCGGCUCACUGGACCUAACUGACGCUGAUGCACGAAAAGCUAGGGGGAGCAAACAGG